GGGCACCGCCAAGACACGCUUCGGAGCAAACAUACGGAGAUGCUUUUGCUCUCAUCAUGCUCUGAGGAAAGUCCCCGGGCAUUCGGGCAGAGAGUGCCAACCGUUAAGGUAUAGGCCUCGCAAGACGGGCGCACGGAGAUUGUCUUCGGACUUGAGUUUGCCCGUCUGUGAGUCCUCGCCAUGGUUACACAGUUAUGCGUGUCGGGGCCUUCGGGCCCUUGAACAGAACGGGGCUUACUCUGGCGGUGCC
rfam:Crassostrea gigas strain 05x7-T-G4-1.051#20 contig12206, whole genome shotgun sequence.